rnacentral:tRNA from 1 species
GCCGCCGUAGCUCAGCCCGGUAGAGCGGCUGUUUCGUAAACAGCAGGUCGGGGGAUCGAAGCCCUCCGGCGGCU